GAUGAACGCUAGCGGCAGGCUUAACACAUGCAAGUCGAGGGGCAGCAUAAUGGAUAGCAAUAUCUAUGGUGGCGACCGGCGCACGGGUGCGUAACGCGUAUGCAACCUACCUUUAACAGGGGGAUAACACUGAGAAAUUGGUACUAAUACCCCAUAAUAUCAUAGAAGGCAUCUUUUAUGGUUGAAAAUUCCGAUGGUUAGAGAUGGGCAUGCGUUGUAUUAGCUAGUUGGUGGGGUAACGGCUCACCAAGGCGACGAUACAUAGGGGGACUGAGAGGUUAACCCCCCACACUGGUACUGAGACACGGACCAGACUCCUACGGGAGGCAGCAGUGAGGAAUAUUGGUCAAUGGACGCAAGUCUGAACCAGCCAUGCCGCGUGCAGGAUGACGGCGCUAUGAGUUGUAAACUGCUUUUGUACGAGGGUAAACGCAGAUACGUGUAUCUGUCUGAAAGUAUCGUACGAAUAAGGAUCGGCUAACUCCGUG
rnacentral:rRNA from 1 species